CAUGCAAGUUCGAACGGUAAGUUGCUUUCGGGCAACACGAGUGGCGCACGGGUGAGUAACGCGUACGCAACCUACCUUUGUCAGGGGAAUACACACGGGAAACUGUGGAUAAAUCCGCAUAAAAUUUUCAGGUGGCAUCAUUUGGGAAUAAAAAAGAGAUUGGACAGAGAUGGGCGUGCGUCUGAUUAGCUAGUUGGUAGGGUAACGGCCUACCAAGGCGACGAUCAGUAGGGGGCGUGAGAGCGUGACCCCCCACACGGGUACUGAGACACGGACCCGACUCCUACGGGAGGCAGCAGUAAGGAAUAUUGGUCAAUGGGAGGAAUCCUGAACCAGCCAUGCCGCGUGCGGGAAGAAGGCCCUUCGGGUUGUAAACCGCUUUUGUCAGGGAAGAAUGGGGGAGAUUUAUCUUCUUAGGGACGGUACCUGAAGAAUAAGCACCGGCUAACUCCGUGCCAGCAGCCGCGGUAAUACGGAGGGUGCAAGCGUUAUCCGGAAUCACUGGGUUUAAAGGGUACGUAGGCGGUUUGAUAAGUCAGGUGUGAAAUACUGCAGCUUAACUGCGGAACUGCACAUGAUACUGUUAGACUUGAGUAGGGAGGAGGGACACGGAAUGCAUCAUGUAGCGGUGAAAUGCUUAGAUAUGAUGUAGAACACCGAUAGCGAAGGCAGUGUUCCAUACCUAUACUGACGCUGAAGUAC
rnacentral:rRNA from 1 species